rnacentral:sRNA from 1 species
UCCUAGCCCCGAUUACAGCGGAAAGCCUUUUGGGAAGAAAACCUAUUUUUUCUUGGUUUGGCAGAGCGACCUUGGGAGCUCCUGAUGAACCUUAGAAAAAAAGGUUUUUGAGCAAAAGCUUGUAGCGAAAAUCGGGAAUAGCU